AAGUGACCCACAACAAUCCAGUCCAAGAUGUUCAAAGGGAAAAGCUUUUCCAAGUAAACAGUUAAAAGGAAAACUCCCAAAGGCAGAGGAAAGAAGGCAGUGCCUGGGCUGACGCUGCUCAGAAAAUCAAAUGCAUAAGUGGGAAAGCCCACACCUUUUCCACCCUGCAGCCCGGGCACAGUGGAGAUGAGGAUGCACAAGAGAUGGCAUGAACUGGAGGGAUGUUACAACGCCCUCAAAUAAAUCACCAGCACAAUGAA